rnacentral:tRNA from 1 species
AGGCGCGUAGCUCAGCUGGUUAGAGCACUUGGUCGACAUCCAAGGGGUCGAUGGUUCGAGUCCAUUCGUGCCUACCA